rnacentral:tRNA from 1 species
AUGGCUCAGUCAGUAGAGCGUCCGCCUCAGAACCGGGAGGUCGUGGGUUCGAACCCCGGUU